AUUGAACGCUGGCGGCAGGCCUAACACAUGCAAGUCGAGCGGCUGCAGGGAGCUUGCUCCUGGAUUCAGCGGCGGACGGGUGAGUAAUGCCUAGGAAUCUGCCUGGUUGUGGGGGAUAACGUCCGGAAACGGGCGCUAAUACCGCAUACGUCCAGAGGGAGAAAGUGGGGGAUCUUCGGAUCUCACGCUAUCAGAUGAGCCUAGGUCGGAUUAGCUAGUUGGCGGGGUAAAGGCCUACCAAGGCGACGAUCCGUAACUGGUUUGAGAGGAUGAUCAGUCACACUGGAACUGAGACACGGUCCAGACUCCUACGGGAGGCAGCAGUGGGGAAUAUUGGACAAUGGGCGAAAGCCUGAUCCAGCCAUGCCGCGUGUGUGAAGAAGGUCUUCGGAUUGUAAAGCACUUUAAGUUGGGAGGAAGGGCAGUAAGUUAAUACCUUGCUGUUUUGACGUUACCAACAGAAUAAGCACCGGCUAACUUCGUG
rnacentral:rRNA from 1 species